GAGCACCCAAACGACCCAAACACGAACGCGAGAACCCAACCGACCCGACCCGGAACUUUCAGCGCCCACCCCGUAGCCGACCCCCGCGCGCCGGCGCCGAAUCCAGCGGCCGUACCACGCCGCCGGUCGGUCCUCCCCGACCCCACCGUCGGCUGCCAAGGUCCUCCCUAGCCGCCGGCACCGUCGUGCACGGCGUCGCCGCCCCCUCUGCUGCCUCCGGCUGGCUUCUCACAUCUCCUCCAAACUCCUCCGCACGCAACCCCCACUCCCGGACAGCAGUAGGUGGAGCUCGGCCCGAAGUCCCGCCGGACCUCAAGAAUCCGGCCACCGGGUCCAAAUCCCGGCCGCCCACCCCCACACCCACCCACUCUCUUUUCUAGUCGAGGAGCCCCCUCCCCGCUGCCUCCCAAUGCCGGAAUUGGGGCCCAAUCUCGCCGGAGUUGGAUUGCAAGCUUGGCGCCCGCCACGUUGUUCAACGAAAUUCCAGCAAUUUGAGUUCAUUCAAUCUCUUUGAAUCAAAUUGCAAAUUGGUUUCCAUCAGUGGCGGAGGCAGGGACCAGGCCAGCCCUGGCCCUGCCGCCGCCGCCGCCGCCAACACCACCACCCCCCACCCCCACCCCCACCCCCACCCCACAAUAUGAUUUGGUAUUUUUACUUAAGUCCUCGUAUAAUCUUUGCAAUUUCAUAAUAUGAGCUUCAUAUUCUUAUGCUUUGGCCCUUCCUAAUAAAUCAUCCUUCUAUUUUGGCCUUCCCUAUGUUAUUUUUCUGCCUCCGCCCCUGGUUUCCAUGAGUAAUAUGUGAGUGGUGGGAGAUGCUUAUGUGUGUAGAUGGAUUGGUUACUUGAAAAUUUCGUCGAAUGGAGAACAAGGCAACUAGUUUAUCUACGUUGCAUCAUAUUUAUCUAUGUUUUGAACUUUGUGUUGUGAGACAUUCAUAAAUGUUUGUGUUCAAUUCGGUUCUUAAAAUUUGUGAUAUUAAUGCACUAUUUGGAUUCUAUUUUAUGAUGUUCAGAUUUCAUAUGCACUAGUUUAAUUCUUAUAUAGUUUGGAUUGGAUAUGCAAGUAGAUGAGAAGGGGAGAAGAAACAAAUAUGGGUAUUCAGUUUUGGGCUGGAAAAGUUGGAGUCAUUUUGAGUACUCAUAUUUUCUCUCUCCACCACCCAUAAUGGUUUUGGGUACUAUGAACAGUUCGCUCAUGAAGCACGUAGGCUGAGAUCCUUCAAUUGCUGAGGAUCCACAGGAGAUGACGCUUUGGUGAGUGAACAUUGAGCAGUCGUGGUCUUGGGGAAAGCUAUCACGUCCCGGAUUGAACUUUCACGAGCCAAAAGCAUCACCAACCGGUCCAACCCAUAAGCAAUUCCUCCUGCCAAAGGAUGAGGAUGGAGGUGACAUUUCUGUUUAACAUUCUACUUCUAGUUUAGUAAAAGCAAAACAAAAACAACAAAUACGAUACAAGAUAACGCACCAUAAAUAAGUAUGCACUAGUCUUUAUUCAAGCAGCUUAGAUCCAGAAAUUAUAUAAUGGCAUGGAUAUAGCAAGGAACAAGAUUGUUUCACUUUAAGAGACAGAAAACGUAGAAGCAAGAUUGCUUCAGAAAGCUGCUCCUGUUUGAGAAACAGCAGUUUAAUAAAAAACAUAGAAGAAGCAUAAAAAAAGGAAAGUUCAGCUGCUAGCUCAAAUGCACUAAAGAACAUAAUACAUCGAGAGGAAUGUGGUUUAAGACAUCAGACCAUGCGGAGGAGCACCCAUGUCGAAACACUCCAAAAGGUAACCAAAUUUUUCCUCUGCCUGCAUUGCAGAUUUGGGUUAUGAAGUUUGUCCCCCAGCAAAAGAGCAGUACUAAAUACAGCAUGUUGGCAGAACGAGCAACGAUGGACGUAAUGUGGAUAAAGACCGAUAUCUUACAGAGAAUUCCAAGUUCACACAUUAUAACUCUCUACAGUGUUAUCACUUCUAUAAUUUUUAUAACUCUCUACAGUGUUAUCACUUCUAUAAUUUUGCUCACGUUGUAACAAGCAUGCAAAAUUUAUCAGCAUAGAACAAACAUUUUUGAAUCUUGACAUCAAUUUUCAAUUUGAUUGACAUUGCUAAGAGAGUACAUUCAGAUCAUAUGAAG
rnacentral:lncRNA from 1 species